GGGAAUGUAGCUCAGUGGUAGAGUGUUUGCCUAGUAUGCAUGAAGCCCUGGGUUCAAUUCCUCAGUACCA
rnacentral:tRNA from 1 species